rnacentral:rRNA from 1 species
GACGAACGCUGGCGGCGUGCUUAACACAUGCAAGUCGAACGGGCCCGCUCUCUUUUUUGGGGGUGGGUUGAGUGGCGAACGGGUGAGUAUCACGUGAGUAACCUGCCCCCUGCUCCUGGAUAACUGCUUGAAAGGGCGGCUAAUACGGGGUGUGCCGGCUGGUCCGCAUGGGCCUGGUCGGGAUAGUUUCAUCUUCGGGUGUUUCGGUGGGGGAUGGGCUCGCGGCCUAUCAGCUUGUUGGUGGGGUGAUGGCCCACCGAGGCGGUGACGGGUAGCCGGCCUGAGAGGGUGGGCGGCCACACUGGGACUGAGACACGGCCCAGACUCCUGCGGGAGGCAGCAGUGGGGGGUAUUGCACAAUGGGCGGAAGCCUGAUGCAGCGACGUCGCGUGAGGGAUGGAGGCCUUCGGGUGGUGAACCUCUUUCUCCGGUGGUGAAGGCCCUGUCCGGUGCGGCGGGGUUGACGGUAGCCGGGUAUGAAGCGCCGGCUAACUACGUG